rnacentral:rRNA from 1 species
GGGGGACAGGGUGACAGGUGGUGCAUGGUUGUCGUCAGCUCGUGUCGUGAGAUGUUGGGUUAAGUCCCGCAACGAGCGCAACCCUCGACCUUAGUUGCCAGCAUUCAGUUGGGCACUCUAAGGUGACUGCCGGCUAAAAGUCGGAGGAAGGUGGGGAUGACGUCAAAUCAUCAUGCCCCUUAUGACCUGGGCUACACACGUGCUACAAUGGUUGGUACAACGAGUUGCGAGUCGGUGACGGCGAGCUAAUCUCUUAAAGCCAAUCUCAGUUCGGAUUGUAGGCUGCAACUCGCCUACAUGAAGUCGGAAUCGCUAGUAAUCGCGGAUCAGCACGCCGCGGUGAAUACGUUCCCGGGCCUUGU